rnacentral:rRNA from 1 species
UCGGGAAUUUUGGGCAAUGGGCGAAAGCCUGACCCAGCAACGCCGCGUGAGGGAUGAAGUAUUUCGGUAUGUAAACCUCGAAAGAAUGGGAAGAAUAAAUGACGGUACCAUUUAUAAGCUCCGGCUAACUACGUGCCAGCAGCCGCGGUAAUACGUAGGGCGCAAGCGUUGUUCGGAUUUACUGGGCGUAAAGGGCGCGUAGGCGGCGCGGUAAGUCACUUGUGAAAUCUCUGAGCUUAACUCAGAACGGCCAAGUGAUACUGCUGUGCUAGAGUGCGGAAGANGCAACCGGAAUUAUUGGUGUAGCGGUGAAAUGCGUAGAUAUCAAGAGGAACACCUGAGGCGAAGGCGGGUUGCUGGGCCGACACUGACGCUGAUGCGCGAAAGCCAGGGGAGCAAA